CUCGGGCCUUGUACACACCGCCCGUCACAUCACGGAAGCCGGUAACACCCGAAGCCGGUGUUCUAGCCCGCAAGGGAGGAAACCGUCGAAGGUGGGAUUGGUGACUGGGGUG
rnacentral:rRNA from 1 species